rnacentral:rRNA from 1 species
UACGGAGGAUCCAAGCGUUAUCCGGAAUCAUUGGGUUUAAAGGGUCCGUAGGCGGCCUUAUAAGUCAGUGGUGAAAUCUCCCAGCUCAACUGGGAAACUGCCAUUGAUACUGUAGGGCUUGAAUUAUUAGGAAGUAACUAGAAUAUGUAGUGUAGCGGUGAAAUGCUUAGAUAUUACAUGGAAUACCAAUUGCGAAGGCAGGUUACUACUAAUAUAUUGACGCUGAUGGACGAAAGCGUGGGUAGCGAACAGGAUUAGAUACCCUGGUAGUCCACGCCGUAAACGAUGGAUACUAGCUGUUCGGAGCAAUCUGAGUGGCUAAGCGAAAGUGAUAAGUAUCCCACCUGGGGAGUACGAACGCAAGUUUGAA